ensembl:lncRNA
AUCACAGGAUAUUCUGCCAUGAUUCCAGUUCGAAGCGAACCUAUAUGUUCCAUUCAAAGUGCAUUGAAGUGUGCGACACGUGAAUUUAAAUUGUAUUUAUUUACAGAGCUAUAUGAUGUCACACUUUGCAGCGCAAAUCCGUGAAUGAAUGUUCUGAAGUGAAGUAAACUUCAACAGAUUUCCCCUGCUCAGGGAGUAGGGAGCAAUGAACACUGUGUAGGGACCAUGUCAAUUGGAACACAGUUCAUGCAUGGAGCUCACUUCUAACGAGCUGAUUAUCUGAAUUAGGUGUGUUAACAAAGAGAGACGUGCAAAAUAUGCAGAGCUGGGGGGUGAGAGGACUGGAAUUGAGAACCUCUGCAUUAAGGCAAUACCCACCUAUUUUAAUGUCUUUGUCUCACUCUAUCAUUAAUGUUUCUUGUCUAGAAGCUGGACCCUCAGAGUAUGUCAACUGCUCAGGUGUACUGUACAGGAGGGGAUCAGGUCUUAAUCAGUGCUGUGGUAAAGAUGUCUACAGUCUAACAGAUGACAAUGUGCUGUGCUGUAAUGGAAUCCUUUAUCGCAAUGUGCCUGAACAGUCAGAGUGUGUCGGAGGUGUUAUAUAUACUCAAAACCAGAUUAAGAUGUUGACUUGUGGCUCGGAAGUCUAUGACCACAAAAAACAGCUGUGCUGCUCAGGUCAUCUCUACAACAAAAUUAAAGCAGAAUGCUGUGGAAACCUCUUGCUGAAAUAUAAUAACAAUCAAAUUUGCUGUUCCUCUUCAACCCAUGCCAUGAUUUAUGAUACCAAACAAGAGCAUUUGUGCUGUGGGCAUUACUACUACAACACGUCCCUGUGGAGCUGCUGUGCUGAACAUCUCAAACCAACACCAAAGACAGACAGUUAUCCACCAGAAUACAGACUUAAACCACUAACGGACCUGAUCCCUGACAUAUGCCAUAAAACAGGUCUGAAACUAAAAGUUCACGAUUUGAUGCUGUACAACAUGAAAUACCAAAUAUACUUAAAAAAAAAAAAAAAUUCUAACAAAAUAAAUUAUCUUAUCUAUGUAUAUGUUUGAUUCUAGUGCUCUUUGGCAAAGUGGAGAGUGUGGUACUUCGCCAAAAAUGGCGUGACAUUGUGUUGAGAGUCAUUGUGGCGGUCAGCGAGUUAUCACAAGGGACUUUACUCCAUGUGUCCCUGGAUCACUGCAGUUCUCCUGCGCUAGAAAACAGCAUGACUUACCUUUGGGAGGAAAACAACAGGAAGUACAAGCCUCUCUCCAUCCCUGUUGAUGUAACCUCUGACAUUCACAUGUUCUUUACAGCAUGUGACCUAAAUCUCAUGCAGGCCUUAAAGCGGAGUGUCAACACAUGUUCACACAUGCGCCAUAUUCACGGUGUAUUUUCAAUGCAAGUACACUUUUAAAGAGAAUCAUUUGACCUAUCGGUAAGCCCCAUCCCCCUUAUUUACUGUUGUGAACUUGGACAAACAAAUGGAGUUGCUAACUGUCUUACAAUGACAUGCAGUGUCAAUGUCAAAACCUUGUCCCGAGAUGUUUUAGAUAAAUUUUGUACACAGAAGGAUCAGCAUUCACAUGGGACAUAAAUAUGUCAUAGAGGGAUAUAAAAAAUAUUUUAAAAUAAAUAUUGUGGGUAUUAAUUUGGAAGCA